CACGGGGGGAGCAAGCGUUGUUCGGAAUCACUGGGCGUAAAGGGCGCGUAGGCGGCUCGGUAAGCGUGUGGUGAAAGCCUGGGGCUCAACCCCGGGUCGGCCAUGCGAACUGUCGAGCUGGAGCACUGUAGAGGCAGGCGGAAUUCCGGGUGUAGCGGUGGAAUGCGUAGAGAUCCGGAAGAACACCGGUGGCGAAGGCGGCCUGCUGGGCAGUAGCUGACACUGAGGCGCGACAGCGUGGGGAGCAAACAGG
rnacentral:rRNA from 1 species